GACGAACGCUGGCGGCGCGCUUAACACAUGCAAGUCGAGCGAGAACCAGGACUUCGGUCCUGGGGAAAGCGGCGAACGGGUGAGUAACACGUGGGUAAUCUGCCCUCGAUUCUGGGAUAGCCCGGGGAAACCCGGAUUAAUGCCGGAUGGCCCACCCGCCUUACGAGGCGGUUGGAAAAGGUAGCUUCGGCCUCCGGCCGAGGAUGAGCCCGCGGCGGAUUAGCUUGUUGGCGGGGUAACGGCCCACCAAGGCGACGAUCCGUAGCUGGUCUGAGAGGACGAUCAGCCACACUGGGACUGAGACACGGCCCAGACUCCUACGGGAGGCAGCAGUGGGGAAUCUUGCGCAAUGGGCGAAAGCCUGACGCAGCGACGCCGCGUGCGGGAAGAAGGCCUUCGGGUUGUAAACCGCUUUCAGGAGGGACGAAGCCACUCGGGUGAACAGCCCAGAGGGUGACGGUACCUCCAGAAGAAGCCCCGGCUAACUACGUGCCAGCAGCCGCGGUAACAC
rnacentral:rRNA from 1 species